AAGGGGCAGUAAUGCAUGGGUAUCUACCCGGGGAUCGGGCAUAGCCUGUAGAGAUACAGGGUAAUUCCCGGUGAUGUCGCAAGACCAAAGCUCCGGCGUCCCUGGAGGAGCCCAUGUGAUAUUAGCUAGUUGGUGGGGUAACGGCCCACCAAGGCGAAGAUGUCUAGCGGGUGUGAGAGCACGACCCGCGCCACUGGCACUGAGACACUGGCCAGACACCUACGGGUGGCUGCAGUCGAGGAUCUUCGGCAAUGGGCGCAAGCCUGACCGAGCGAGGCCGCGUGGGCGAUGAAGGCCUUCGGGUUGUAAAGCCCUGUCGAGGGGGAGAAAAGCCGAAAGGUAUGAUCUAUCCCUGGAGGAAGCACGGGCUAAGUUCGUGCCAGCAGCCGCGGUAAGACGAACCGUGCGAACGUUGUUCGGAAUCACUGGGCUUAAAGGGCGCGUAGGCGGGCUAUCAAGUCCGGGGUGAAAUCCUCCAGCUUAACUGGAGAAUGGCCUCGGAUACUGAUGGUCUCGAGGAGGAUAGGGGCACACGGAACUGUGGGUGGAGCGGUGAAAUGCGUUGA
rnacentral:rRNA from 1 species